GCAAACUUGGUCAUUUAGAGGAAGUAAAAGUCGUAACAAGGUUUCCGUAGGUGAACCUGCGGAAGGAUCAUCAGUGGUCUGUGUGGGGGGGGCAGUGCUGUUGCUGCUGCUGCCUCCACACCAAUCUUGUGUGAACUGUUCUGUGUGUGUUGGUGUGUGAUGUGUUGUUACGGCGGCACUCCCACCACCAUCACAAAUCUCUUUCAACCUUUGUCUAACAUGUACCCACAAUCUAAAACAACUUUUAACAAUGGAUCUCUUGGCUCUCGCAUCGAUGAAGAACGCAGC
rnacentral:misc_RNA from 1 species